rnacentral:rRNA from 1 species
GACGAACGCUGGCGGCGUGCCUAAUGCAUGCAAGUCGCACGCACCGAGCUUGCUCGGUGAGUGGCGCACGGCUGAGGAACACGUGGGCAUCUGCCCUGCCGUGGGGGAUAACCGGGCGAAAGCCUAGCUAAUCCCGCAUACGCUCCCAUCACUCGAUGGGAGGAAAGCAGUAAUGCGCGGUCGGAGGAGCCUGCGGCCCA